UGCGUAGGCGGACUAAUAAGUCAGUGGUGAAAUCUCUCGGCUCAACCGGGAAACUGCCAUUGAUACUGUUAGUCUUGAGUUCGGUUGAGGUAGGCGGAAUGUGUAAUGUAGCGGUGAAAUGCUUAGAUAUUACAUAGAACACCAAUUGCGUAGGCAGCUUACUAGACCGACACUGACGCUGAGGCACGAAAGCGUGGGUAGCGAACAGGAUUAGAUACCCUGGUAGUC
rnacentral:rRNA from 1 species